rnacentral:lncRNA from 1 species
AACAUAACGACCAUAUAUAACAAGGUUGUACCAUAAAAGGAGUACAUAUUAUAUGUUUGCCACACAACCAAACUAAACUAGUGCCACAAAAGAUGUACAUAUGCUUCUAGAUGUGUGCCACACAACCAAAAUGAGCUUAACAACCACCAAAAUGCAACAGUGACAAACAAGACACGUGACAUUAUCACUCCAUCAACUUAAUUGUAGGUCUUCCAAAUCUUCAGCAGCUUAAAGAUCUUCCAAACCUUAGUGAACUUGUGCACCUUUGAGAAACCUGCAAUAGACCAGAAAUGUUACAUACAGCAGCCGCAUAUGUUCUGAAAGAUGUUAUAAGUAGGUAACAUGCGCAAAGUUACUGUACUAGCCAGCGAAUUAAGUUAGCUUGUAUUUGGGCUUGCUUUUCCUUCUAAGCUCUCUGCAUCUACAACACAGAAUAAGAGGGGAACUAGUUGGAGCAUAUAUUUAGGAUCUUCUAAUGGGGGGCUGUUUAGUUUCCUAGUUCCAUGCUUUUGUUGGACAAGUUAGAAAUGAAGGUCCCCUAAGAUGGUAUCUGAUUAGUGGGCAAGCCCACAGAUUUACAAAUCAACUGAAACACUAAGAAUAUUUGGUUCAAUAAUAAACAAUUUUUAUUGGUUCACUUUCCUACAUCACGCACAACAAGUUGAAUUAGCCUAGAAAAUUAAACCAAGGCUUUAUGUAGACAAACAAGCUGAAAUACUUCAUGUACAUGAAAGAAAGAGGAUUCAGUUACAUUCAAUUGUUGUGAGCAUGGAAUCAAAUGAAACUCAUUACUCUACAUGGCAGAGUCUAUCAUGUACAUGAAAGAAUUAUGAUCCAAUUGCAGUUUAUAUUUGUAAUUGACUAAAAUAAGUACUGUAGGGGUAUCUUUUUUUGUACCUGCUGUAGGAGUAUCUAUAUAUACAAAAGUUAAUCAUUAUGCUUGCGAGAUCAGAGUAACCAAAUUUAUUCAGCUGACCUCUCUACAAAUUCAUGGCGGGUGGACACAAAAGCCCACUUCUAAAGAACUAUAAUGAUUUGCUUGAAUUACUAAUUAUUUAUAUAAACUGGAACAGGAGCUCAAGUUUCUUGGACACAAGUUGACCAUGCAGCAACUACAUGAGCAAAGCAUUACUAUUUGUGACAAAACCUAGAAGCUUGAUACAAAAUGUUUUGAACUGCAGAGACAACAGAAUCAACUUUGAAUAUUUUCUAAGUACAAACUAGCAAUAUCUAGGAACUAACAAAAUUGUAACAUCAAAACAAGAAAUCAUAAAAACACUAAAUACAGGCCAAAGCAAAUGAUAUGGCAGCUGACAUGUACGUUCACUAGAAAUAUAAGACGUUUUUGUAAUUUAAUUUGAACUGCAAAAACGUAUUAUAUUAUGGUACAGAGGUAGCAGUAAGCAGCAAAAUGCAAGGUCAAACAAUUUUUACACAUGGGAUGUUUUUUUCCAAAAUUGCAUGCUAAGCAUAGCAUGUUUAUACUUCUGAAAUUAACAUAGCACUAUAAUUAGAAUCCACAAUUAUAAGUUAGUACAAUUUAUAUCAAAAGUUUGACAUCUUUGUACUAAAGCUUGUUAUUUGCAAAGCUGUCAUAUUAUAAAUCAAAGAACAAGAGCUUGUUAAUUUUAUUUUAUUUUGACAUCUUGUACGUGAGCUUGCGUUUAUACUUUGAUAUCUAGUUAAGCAAAGAACAGCAAACAGCAGCUGACAGAAUACCUAUUCUGUUGUACAAAAUACUAAACAGUGUAAUGCCAGGUCAACCAUUUUUUACACAUGAAAAGGAAGUGCUAGACAAUGCGUAGGAAUACAAGAGAAGGCAACACAUAUCCUCCUCAUAAAUGGUUCUAUGGCGGGCAAACCAACGAGUCUGUGUCAAGUACUGCCCAAUAACACAAGACUAAGCUACAAAAUACACAGAGGAUGCAAAAGCUCAGUUCUGAAUACACAAGGCAUGCUUACUAGAAGAUACACGCUGAUCACAGAAGAAACAAUCUAAAAAGUUUAUUUCAGUGAAAGCACCCAAUGAAAAUUAGAGAACAGUCUGUAAGAAUUACAUAUAGGAAAAAAGAGCAAGGUACUGAGCUAGCCUCAUGACCCAUUUCUUCCAUUUUUUUCUACUUAGGAACAUAGCCACACACACCAGCACUACUACUAAACCUGGACGCAGAACCUAAAAAACGAGCAUCCAAAAAGUCCUUUAUCAGCAAC